rnacentral:rRNA from 1 species
AGANNGCNNUCGNGCUUCAUNAUUGGAACGCUGGCGGCAGGCCUNUNCACAUGGCAAGUCGAGCGGUAACAGAUCUAGCUUGCUAGAUGCUGACGAGCGGCGGACGGGUGAGUAAUGCAUAGGAAUCUGCCCGGUAGUGGGGGAUAACCUGGGGAAACCCAGGCUAAUACCGCAUACGUCCUACGGGAGAAAGGGGGCUUCGGCUCCCGCUAUUGGAUGAGCCUAUGUCGGAUUAGCUCGUUGGUGAGGUAAAGGCUCACCAAGGCAACGAUCCGUAGCUGGUCUGAGAGGAUGAUCAGCCACAUCGGGACUGAGACACGGCCCGAACUCCUACGGGAGGCAGCAGUGGGGAAUAUUGGACAAUGGGGGCAACCCUGAUCCAGCCAUGCCGCGUGUGUGAAGAAGGCCUUCGGGUUGUAAAGCACUUUCAGCGAGGAAGAACGCCUAGUGGUUAAUACCCAUUAGGAAAGACAUCACUCGCAGAAGAAGCACCGGCUAACUCCGUGCCAGCAGCCGCGGUAAUACGGAGGGUGCAAGCGUUAAUCGGAAUUACUGGGCGUAAAGCGCGCGUAGGCGGUUUGAUAAGCGAGAUGUGAAAGCCCCGGGCUCAACCUGGGAACGGCAUCCGGAACUGUCAGGCUAGAGUGCAGGAGAGGAAGGUAGAAUUCCCGGUGUAGCCGGUGAAAUGCGUAGAGAUCGGGAGGAAUACCAGUGGCGAAGGCGGCCUUCUGGACUGACACUGACACUGAGGUGCGAAAGCGUGGGUAGCAACAGGAUUAGAUACCCUUGGUAGUCCACGCCGUAAUCGAUGUCGACCAGCCGUUGGGUGCCUAGAGCACUUUGUGGCGAAUUUACGCGANAAGUCACCGCCUGGGGAGUACGGCCGCAAGGUUAAACUCAAAUGAUUGACGGGGCCCGCACAACCGUGGAGCAUGUGAUUUACUUCGAUGCACGNAAAAUCUUACCUACCUUGACUCNCNAAACCCGAAAAAAUCUGGGG